GAGAGAGAGGCCACAAGACACUCUUAUUGCUUGGGUGCGAAGCCUUCUACGAUCACUCUCUCCAACUUUGGAAGGAAAGAGAAAUCCCCCUCAAUUCUUUUGACACAAAGGCCUCUAGUACUCCUCUUAAGUUCCAUGGACACGGAGAUGGAGGAAGAUGCACGACGUGAGUUCGAUGGUGCUGAGAAAAGUGACGAUGGACGUGUGAGAACCGGAACAGUAUGGACUGCAACAGCCCAUGUGAUUACAGCAAUAAUUGGGACUGGGAUCCUGGGGGUGGCCUGGAGCGUUGCUCAACUUGGUUGGAUUAUUGGGCCUCUCUUCCUUCUUGGCUUUGGUUGUGUGACUUAUUACGCAUCGACCCUUCAAGCUGACUGCUAUAGAUACCCACACCCACACGCAGGAAAGAGAAACUACACUUACAAGGAUGCUGUCAAA